CACUGACCGUGAUAAUGUAGCGUAAUCAAUAGCCAAUUAAUUGUUGGCCGGUAUGAAUGGCAUCACGAAGGCCCCACUGUCUUAAGAGGACUCUCCAUGAAAUUGAAAUCGUAGUGAAGAUGCUACGUCCAUAUUGUAAGACGAAAAGACCCCAUUGAGCUUUACUAAAGACUUGUAUGGCUCGAAAUAACUUAAAUAAAAAGUUUAGAUAAUGUGGGAUCCGUUUUGGUUAAUGAAACACCACUCUUUUAUUUUAAGAGAGCUAACCUUGUAGGGAGAAUGCAAGUUGGAUAGUUUGGUUGGGGCGACCACCUUUUAAAAGGUAACGAAGGUGAGCUUAAGGUCCGUAGUUAAUAGCUAGUGGCCUGACUGCAAGGGGGACAUCCCGAGCAGACACUGGUAAUCUCUCAGUGGGUUAUAGUGACCCGUCAUCUUAGAGUGGAAUAGUUGACGAUCAACGAAUAAAAGCUACCAUGGGGA
rnacentral:rRNA from 2 species